rnacentral:lncRNA from 1 species
UCCUUUUAGCUGAAGUGUCUCCUUACAUCUUUUGUACAUUCAUAAAUUUUGGAUACAGCUCUUUGUCAAGGUUUAUGGUUUUAGUAAUCAUAAAACCAUUCCAAAUGCUGGCCAAGUGCAGCUAAUUUCAGUGGUGGAAUUUCUGAGAAUGACAGCCAUUGUCUAAGCAUUCAUCAAAGCAUGUUACAGGUUACGGGAGAGAAGCAUCACACCUGGUGCAGUGUAUCUUUUUUAUGGCUCAAUCCCUGUUUAACCCAGGGUUUCAAAAGUUGCUUCUUUAUCAUGGACAUAACGUAUUCUUAGUAUAAAAACAAUAAAUAACUCACUAGGUGUGGUUCCA